GAUGAACGCUGGCGGCGUGCCGAAUACAUGCAAGUCGAGCGAAGCGGGGACAGGUGAGUAACACGUGGAUAACAUCCUAUAAGACUGGGAUCACUUCGGGAAACCGGAGCUAAACCGGAUACUAAUAGAUGGAUCCGCGCUGCAUUAGCUAGUUGGUAGGGUAACGGCUUACCAAGGCAACGAUGCAUAGCCGACCUGAGAGGGGUAUCGGCCCCACUGUAACUGAGACCCGGUCCAGACUCCUACGGGAGUCAGCAGUAGUGAAUCUUCCGCAAUUGGCGAAAGCCUGACGGAGUAACGCCGCGUGAGUUAUGAAGGUCUUCGGAUCGUAAAACUCUGUUAUUAGGGAAGCGGUACCUAAUCAGAAAGCCACGGCUAACUACGUGCCAGCAGCCGCGGUAAUUC
rnacentral:rRNA from 1 species